rnacentral:ncRNA from 1 species
UUAAUAAUUAUAGCGCCCGAACUUAGUUAAAUCUAAGUUGACGAGGAAGAGGUGAUCGAGUUUUCGGCGGAUGCCUCUAGGUAGAGUUAGCUACCUUAAUUAACUGUUUAAACCCUAUAGGAGACCAUAGGAGUAACGGGAGUUAAACUAACAAAU